rnacentral:rRNA from 1 species
AGAUAAUAGAUACCCCAGGUAGUCCACGCCGUAAACGAUGCACACUAGCUAUCAGAAAGUAUCGACCCUUCUUGUAGCGAAGCUAACGCGUUAAGUGUGCCGCCUGGGAAGUACGGUCGCAAGACUAAAACUCAAAGGAAUUGACGGGGGAUCGCACAAGCGGUGGAGCAUGGGGUUUAAUUCGACGAUAACCGGAGAACCUUACCAGGGUUUGACAUCUACCGAAAGUCCUGGAAACAGGACCGUGCCCGCAAGGGAACGGUAAGACAGGUGUUGCACGGCUGUCGUCAGCUCGUGGCGUGAGCUGUACCCUUAAGUGGGUAAACGAGCGAAACCCUCGUCGUCUGUUGGAUUUUUCAGACGAGACUGCCGGCUUUUAGCUGGAGGAAGGUGGGGAUGACGCCAAGUCAGCGUGGCCCUUACACCCUGGGCUACACCCGUGCUACAAUGGCAUCGACAAAGGGUUGCAAAAUCGUAAGAUGGAGCUAAUCCACCAAAAGAUGCCUCAGUUUGGAUUGGAGGCUGCAACUCG